AUCUCUGGUAACUGCCCCUGCCGCCUUGUCUAUUUUCUUCCCUCGACUCGAUUGAUUGCCAAGGAUUGGUAGGAGGAGGUGGUCACGUGGUUGUAUGUUCUUUCAUCAAAGAAAUUCACCUGGUAUGUUGAGGGAUCGAUGGAUGGAUGGAUGCUCGUAUGUGUUCAAUGGAAGUCACGAUGUUUUAUUCAUCUGGUGUUUUAUUUUUCUCCAUGAUCUAUCUGCUCGAUCGAUAUCUAUAGGCUAUAGCUGUUGUGUUUUUUUGAAAAAGCAUAGUUGCCGUGUUUGAUCAGUUAAUUGCAGCUUAUUUGCGGGCGCCGGAUAUGUGGUGAUUGCUUGUGUUCGUUCAGGUGCUGUAUAACAUACAUACAUGUUCCAUCGUAGAUCGAUUUGUCCCCUGUCUAGCUAGUUGCAUCUUCCUUACUGUGCUUUGAUUUGCACGGGUUAAAUUAAGCCAUACACUUCAAUUUGCUUCUGUCUCGUUACAUGAAUUUGCGAACACAUCUCCCAUAUGUCCCGUAUAUACUGUUAGAUUUCUAAACAAUUCACACACACCAAUUCAUGACUGAAAAAAAAAAGACAAGAGCAGUUUUCUAAACAUUGUACGAUUUGAUUAUGCUCUCAUCUAGAUUUAACAUUGCUGCAAUUUUGAUUCUUUGUGCUAGAGAGCGCCCUAUUAUGCUAGUAAGAUUGCCACAAACUUGGAUUAUAAUUUCAGGUUGCAAGGAUCUCUUUCGGCACGACUAUCAAGUUGCCAGGUAAGAGCAACCCGUUUUACCUUGUUUUAGUUUGGUUCAGAACUAAAAAUUGCUUGGUGCUUUGAAGAGAUAUGAUUUUUACCUAUUUUUAGUUUGAUUCAAAAUCGAAAAUUGCUUGGUGCUAUCAAGAGGUAAUUUUAUUCAACACGCCAUCACAACCAUCCGUCUGAAUAUGUUCCGCAUGAUAGUGCAUUUGCUUAGUUAUAUGCUAAUAUGAAUAUAUGAAUAGUUAUUUGCCGUAGCUAUGACGUGCAGUCCAUAUAUGGAACCAAUCAAUCACUGUAAAAAAAUGAAUUUAUCUCUGACUUCCUACCAGCAGUCUAGCAACAAGCCUGACCACAAUGAAAUUCUUUUUUUUUUUUGAGAGCUCUCCACUUUGAGUACAAGCUGUAGUAUCUGAACAUACGUCGCACUCCACACACACACACCCCUACACGCAUGCUAGACCUAUCAACUAUACACACACACGUGCUAAUGAGAUACACAAAGCCACCUAAGGAUCUUGUGCGCUAUUGUGGCGCUGGCACGGGAGAGCUGGAAAUUUAUUUAUUUGGGAAUAAAUCCCGGUGAGACGCGCGGGUGACGAUCCCAGGGAUCGAACCCGUGCGGGCUGCUCGCUCACCAGCGAUGCUAGCCAACCGAGCAACGCUCGGUUCUCACCACAAUGAAAUUCCUGCAGGAUGCAUUCAACACCUCCUUACUUUUCCGGUCUGAAUUUUAUAUUUUAGUUGUCAAUUGGUCUGUGCAAUGUUGAGGAAUUUGGAACUGGAACAAGAGGAGAUUCUAUAUACAAUUAUUGCACAAUGUCAUUGAUUGCAGGCUAGGAGUACAAACUUGGUUGCACAGCUGAAGAAUAGCAUGAUCCCUCUCUUGAUGGGGAUCGCUUGUGCACGAGCUAGCUGCCGCCAACCGUCAUUGGCCUUCUCCAUCGAUUUCUACCUGUAGCUAAUCUGCUGUGGCUGCCAACAAGUCCUGCCCAUCAGAACUUCUAAGGUUGCCGGUGCAGGCUUCAUCAUCGGCUACUAUUUGUCCUCUGCCGAUGCAAUAGGAAUAGCGAGUCUACUUUUGUUAAUUGUAGAAUCAAUGUAUCUGUGUCCCUGAAUCUUUGUAAACAUGUCUGUAGUUUUUUACUAGACAAAAAUGUGGUUGUAAUUUAUUUUGGCUAUAUCGAUUUGUUGGUAAAUAUUUUACUCUAAUAGUCAGGGACUAACUUAUUUCAAUGAGAGAAGAUUGUAGUAAAUUUUGUGGGUAGAGCAGUCUAGGAGAAAUUUAUUUUCUAAGAGAA